rnacentral:tRNA from 1 species
CGCGGGAUAGAGCAGUGGCAGCUCGUCGGGCUCAUAACCCGGAGGUCGGAGGUUCGAAUCCUCCUCCCGCUACCA